rnacentral:rRNA from 1 species
AACGAACGCUGGCGGCAUGCCUAACACAUGCAAGUCGAACGAGAUCUUCGGGUCUAGUGGCGCACGGGUGCGUGACGCGUGGGAAUCUGCCCUUUGGUUCGGAAUAACAGUUGGAAACGACUGCUAAUACCGGAUGAUGACGAAAGUCCCAAGAUUUAUCGCCAGAGGAUGAGCCCGCGUAGGAUUAGCUAGUUGGUGUGGUAAAGGCGCACCAAGGCGACGAUCCUUAGCUGGUCUGAGAGGAUGAUCAGCCACACUGGGACUGAGACACGGCCCAGACCCCUACGGGAGGCAGCAGUGGGGAAUAUUGGACAAUGGGCGAAAGCCUGAUCCAGCAAUGCCGCGUGAGUGAUGAAGGCCUUAGGGUUGUAAAGCUCUUUUACCCGGGAUGAUAAUGACAGUACCGGGAGAAUAAGCUCCGGCUAACUCCGUGCCAGCCGCCGCCGUAA